rnacentral:rRNA from 1 species
CGCCUCUUGUAAACUAAAAAUAGGAGGUACCGCCUGCCCAGUGACGACAUGUUUAACGGCCGCGGUAUUAUGACCGUGCGAAGGUAGCGCACUCACUUGUCUUUUAAAUGAAGACCCGUAUGAAUGGCAUAACGAGGGCUAAACUGUCUCCUUUUUCCGGCCAAUGAAAUUGAUCUCCCCGUGCAGAAGCGGGGCUAUGCCCUUAAGACGAGAAGACCAGGUGGAGCUUUAGACAACAGGCCAGAUCUUAUUCAGCCCCCCCUUAACAAAGGGGCCAGCCCAAGGACGCUGACCCAAUGUCUUCGGUUGGGGGGAGCGCGGAGCACACAAAACGUCCGUUCGGAAAAGGAGAACUUCUCCCACAGCCAAGAGUAACUACUCUCAGAAAUAGAAUUUCUAAAGAAAGGUUCCGGCGAAGCGAAAAAAAAAACUAAGUUACCCCAGGGAUAACAGCGCAAUCCCCUUUCAGAGUACACAUCGACAAGGGGGUUUACGACCUCGAUGUUGGAUCAGGACAUCCCAAUGGGGGGACCGCUAUGAAGGGUUCGUUUGUUCAACGAUUAAAGCCCU